AAUGAACGUUGGCGGCGUGGAUUAGGCAUGCAAGUCGAGCGAGAACCCCGCAAGGGGGGACAGCGGCAAACGGGGUAGUAAUGUGUCGGAACGUGCCCAGAGGACGGGGAUAGCGGCGGGAAACUGCCGGUAAUACCCGAUGAUCUCGAGAGAGCAAAGGUGUGAUUCCGCCUUUGGAGCGGCCGACAUGGUAUUAGCUAGUUGGCGGGGUAACGGCCCACCAAGGCUGUGAUGCCUAGGGGAUGUGGGAGCAUGAUCCCCACCAUUGGGACUGAGACACUGCCCAGCCACCUACGGGUGGCUGCAGUCGAGAAUCUUCGUCAAUGGGCGAAAGCCUGAACGAGCGACGCCGCGUGCGGGAUGAAGGCCUUUGGGUUGUAAACCGCUGUCGAGGGGGAUGAAGGCUUGAAAGUCAUCUUUCAAGUUUGACAGAGCCCUGGAGGAAGCACGGGCUAAGUUCGUGCCAGCAGCCGCCGUAACAC
rnacentral:rRNA from 1 species